ACAGUUCUAGGCAGCAAUCUCUUUGUCCCAAGAAACUGGGAAUAUCUCACCAUGGCCAAGGCCUCGAUGCUCAUCCUGUUCCUCACUUCUUUUUGGGGUUGUGAUGCUGAGUUUACAAUGACUCAGCCGCCCUCUGUGUCGACUUCCAUUGGAGAGACUGUCAAAAUCUCCUGUACAUUAAGUGGAGAGCGCAUAAGCAGCACCUAUAUCUCCUGGUACCAACAGAAGCCCGGCAGUACUCCAAUGAUGCUCAUAUAUAGCAAUGACAACAGAGCCUCAGGCAUCUCCGACCGAUUCUCCGGUUCUGUCGACAGCUCUGCCAAUACCGCCACCUUAACCAUCUCCAGUGCCCAAGAAGGCGAUGAGGCCGAUUAUCACUGUUUCUCUUAUUACAGCAGCAACAAGCGCACAAUGAUACAAACACAUGGGGAAGUGAGACAAAAUCCUCCACUCAUGCGUGAGUCUUGUGUCAGGCUGAGUGGAAGGAAAACAGAGUGA